UGGUGACCAUGACUUGGGGGUAUGAUAUAAAAUGCUAACCUCCCCUGUUAUUUUAAUGGUGAGAGGUUACCAUGACUUUGGGGUAUGAUAUAAAAUGCUAACCUCCCCUGUCAUUGUGAUGGUGAGAGGUUAGCAUGACUUGUGGGUAUGAUAUGAAAUGCUAACCUCCCCUGUCAUUGUAAUGGUGAGAGGUUAGCAUGACUUGUGGGUAUGAUAUGAAAUGCUAACCUCCCCUGUCAUUGUAAUGGUGAGAGGUUAGCAUGACUUGUGGGUAUGAUAUGAAAUGCUAACCUCCCCUGUCAUUGUAAUGGUGAGAGGUUAGCAUGACUUGUGGGUAUGAUAUGAAAUGCUAACCUCCCCUGUCAUUGUAAUGGUGAGAGGUUAGCAUGACUUGUGGGUAUGAUAUGAAAUGCUAACCUCCCCUGUUAUUGUAAUGGUGAGAGGUUAGCAUGACUUGGGGGUAUGAUAUUUGUGAGUCUGUAACUUUCUCACUGUCACAAACGUCAUCAGGGUAAUGACGGGACCAAGGUGCAGCGUGGUGAGCGUACGUUUUCCUUUAUUUAGAAUGUCACCAACAAAACAAGAAACACCAACGACGACCGUGCAGCUUACUAGGGCUAUACAGGUCACUAACAAAGUCAACUACCCACAACAUAGGUGGGGAAACAGGCUGCCUAAGUAUGAUUCCCAAUCAGAGACAAUGAUAGACAGCUGCCCGUGAUUGGGACCCACACUCGGCCAAACACAAAGAAAUACAAAACAUAGAAUGCCCAGCCCACAUCACACCCUGACCUCACCAAAUAGAGAAAUAAAAUUACUCUCUAAGGUCAGGGCGCGACACUCACUCAUCAUUACUCGGAAUUCAUUCAGGAUUAUACACUUAAUAUUCAUGAAACAUGUUCCUAUUUCAAUCAAAUAUGACACCAUAAUCUGUGAAGGCUUUACUGUUUCCUGCUAGUUAGAGUUAAUAGCCAGGCUAAUACAGUAUGUUACAUACAUAAGAGUUAGUUCUCCCAGCUGAGUGUAAUUGGUUUGUAAGGUGAUAUAACCAUGGAGGGGAGUUCAUGAAAUCUGUGUUAUUUCUUCUCUCUGCCUGGUGUUAUGAGUCCUACUGGUGAUUUAUGAUGUGGUUUAUCUUCUGGCCCAGCCUCAGAAGGACUUUUCCCACUGACGAACCUGAGUGUGUGUGUGUGUGUGGAGGUGCGCGCGGGGACGGGUCUUUGCCCAUGUGUGUCCAUGCGUGUGUGUGAGUGUGAAUAAGGACUAUUCCCAGUAACAACCCUCUGCCAACACUGCCACCAACUCUGCUGUUUGUUCUCUUUCCAUGCAGAACAGCACAGGAUUCCAGCUUGUUUCAAUAGCAGGAUCGGUCUCUGAAAAGCUGCAUGUCUUAGGUGUACAAUACCUUAAUGGAAAAAAGAUUCACUUUGGACCAAAUAACGUGUGAUCUGAGCUUUAGCUGUUCUUCCCACCCUGUCAUGUGGAAAUAUUUAAGACAAGAUCUUUGAAUUCGAAAUUUGCAGUAUAAACUCAGUCUGAAUAUUACCCUACUUGAGGUCCUUGUAUAGACAAAUACGUGGAGGUUUCUCUUAGUUUUGUUCUUACUGCAAUACGUCAGUAUGUCAUUCUUGUUUAUAAAAUGUCUAAAAUAGCAACAUGAUCAAUUCUAAAUCUUAUACUGUGUGCACUAAAGAGCUAAAUUCAAUUUCAA